GAUAACUCCGGGAAACCGGGGCUAAUACCGAAUAACAUUUUGCACCGCAUGGUGCGAAAUUCAAAGGCGGCUUCGGCUGUCACUUAUGGAUGGACCCGCGUCGCAUUAGCUAGUUGGUGAGGUAACGGCUCACCAAGGCAACGAUGCGUAGCCGACCUGAGAGGGUGAUCGGCCACACUGGGACUGAGACACGGCCCAGACUCCUACGGGAGGCAGCAGUAGGGAAUCUUCCGCAAUGGACGAAAGUCUGACGGAGCAACGCCGCGUGAGUGAUGAAGGCUUUCGGGUCGUAAAACUCUGUUGUUAGGGAAGAACAAGUGCUAGUUGAAUAAGCUGGCACCUUGACGGUACCUAACCAGAAAGCCACGGCUAACUACGUGCCAGCAGCCGCGGUAAUACGUAGGUGGCAAGCGUUAUCCGGAAUUAUUGGGCGUAAAGCGCGCGCAGGUGGUUUCUUAAGUCUGAUGUGAAAGCCCACGGCUCAACCGUGGAGGGUCAUUGGAAACUGGGAGACUUGAGUGCAGAAGAGGAAAGUGGAAUUCCAUGUGUAGCGGUGAAAUGCGUAGAGAUAUGGAGGAACACCAGUG
rnacentral:rRNA from 1 species